rnacentral:rRNA from 1 species
GACGAACGCUGGCGGCGUGCUUAACACAUGCAAGUCGAACGAUGAAGCGGAGCUUGCACCGUGGAUUAGUGGCGAACGGGUGAGUAACGCGUGGGAAUCUACCCAUCCCUACGGAACAACUCCGGGAAACUGGAGCUAAUACCGUAUACGCCCUACGGGGGAAAGAUUUAUCGGGGAUGGAUGAGCCCGCGUUGGAUUAGCUAGUUGGUGGGGUAAUGGCCUACCAAGGCGACGAUCCAUAGCUGGUCUGAGAGGAUGAUCAGCCACAUUGGGACUGAGACACGGCCCAAACUCCUACGGGAGGCAGCAGUGGGGAAUAUUGGACAAUGGGCGAAAGCCUGAUCCAGCCAUGCCGCGUGAGUGAUGAAGGCCCUAGGGUUGUAAAGCUCUUUCAACGGUGAAGAUAAUGACGGUAACCGUAGAAGAAGCUCCGGCUAACUUCGUGCCAGCCGCCGCAGUAACAC